rnacentral:rRNA from 1 species
UGGGGAAUAUUGCACAAUGGGGGAAACCCUGAUGCAGCGACGCCGCGUGAGCGAAGAAGGUUUUCGAAUCGUAAAGCUCUGUCCUAUGAGAAGAUAAUGACGGUAUCAUAGGAGGAAGCCCCGGCUAAAUACGUGCCAGCAGCCGCGGUAAUACGUAUGGGGCGAGCGUUGUCCGGAAUUAUUGGGCGUAAAGAGCUCGUAGGCGGUUUGUCGCGUCUGCUGUGAAAGACCGGGGCUUAACUCCGGGGCUGCAGUGGGUACGGGCAGGCUGGAGUGCGGUAGGGGUAACCGGAAUUCCUGGUGUAGCGGUGGAAUGCGCAGAUAUCAGGAGGAACACCGAUGGCGAAGGCAGGUUACUGGGCCGUUACUGACGCUGAGGAGCGAAAGCAUGGGGAGCGAACAGG